ACGCUCGCUUCAGCAGCACAUACACUAAAAUUGGAACGAUACAGGGAUUAGCAUGGCCCCUGCAUGACGAUGACACCCAAAGUCGUGAAGCAUUCCACAUUUUC
ensembl:snRNA U6 U6 spliceosomal RNA